UAGAUAGAUAGAUAGAUAGAUAGAUAGAUAGAUAGAUAGAUAGAUAGAUAGAUAGAAAUUCUAAUAUAUUAUUUCAUACAUACAUAUAGCCUUCUGAUGAGGUCUGGGUAAUUUCCUCAAAUCAGAUGGGCAUCUAUCUCUUCCUGAAACUAAAUCAGUAGCAAAAGUGAGGACAGGAACUACCUCUUCUUUUGGAAAAAAAUCCAUGGAAGGGCCCUCCUGGACCACUGAACUACACUAUCUGGUAUUGUCCAGCCCUGUUAUCUGUAAGGCUUUCCCCCCAGGUAAGGGAGGUGCAAGGACUGUCACUUGAAAUCAGCUCUGGGUUUUCUCUUCUGGGUCAUUCAUGGAUCCUUCAUGAAUGCAGAAGCUGCUGAAAUAAAGGGAAACCACUGCUCCUCUCUACUAACACACAGUCACUAGUAUACCAUACACUUUUGCCCAUUUCUAAAUCUGUGCUUCCUUACCCAAAGGUUUUCCCAUCCUCAUAGCAUUAAUAUUCCCUAUUUUAUAUAUGGGACUGUGUAUAACACUGUUUUUACACCAUUUUCUAAUAGGAUUUGUCCAAAUCAAUCAGUGAAAAUGAAGCCAAGCUUAUGAGAACAAGAGCUUUCAGUUCACUGAAAUUUAUUUUUGUGUUGCUCUUUUAGGAGAAAGAAGCACAUUGUCAGAAAAGAAAAUCACAUCAAGAAAUUAUUUAAAAACAAAUUUGGAACAUCUUCCUUGCCAUUAGUGAUCCCAUCUAAUGAUGUGAUGGGCAAAAACAUUAACUAGUGAGCAACUCAGGCUUAUGAAUCCAAUUCCAUCAGUAAUCGGAUUCUGUGAUGAUAGGCAAAAACUCUUAAUUCUCUAAAUUCAGUUGCUCAUCUACUAAUAAAACUUUUCAGUGAAAAAAAAAUCUAAUCUGUCUCUUCCAAUUCCAAAAUUUUUUUGUGUUAUUUUUAAGAUACAGAUAUGGGACUCCGAAGGAAUUCUCUCUACAGUCCUUAAUAGACCUUUGUCUCCUGGGCUUUUUUAUUUUUAUUUUUUCAUCAGUGUCUAGAGUGAAGACAAAGAAGGCUGGCUAACCCUAUCUACAGAUGAGACAAAGCUAAGGACAGCUAGUGCGCUGAAUGACAAGCGUAGGAUUCAGAAUAUCUUGACAGCCUACAGAAAUGGGUCAGAACUACCAAAAUAAAGGAAAGUCUGGAACACAUACACACAGGACCAGCUCUUCUGCCUCAGUGAUGAAUGAAUGCCUCUAAGUCCUGUUACAAAAAUAGCUGUGGAGCGAAAACAUCAGCGUGGCCUUUCCUUAGUGUUGUGAUUUGCAGGAACUCAAAAAAAUAAACAUUUCCCUUAAAGUCUCUGG